CCUACGGGAGGCAGCAGUGGGGAAUAUUGGACAAUGGGGGCAACCCUGAUCCAGCCAUGCCGCGUGUGUGAAGAAGGCCCUCGGGUUGUAAAGCACUUUCAGUGAGGAAGAACGCCUGGUGGUUAAUACCCAUCAGGAAAGACAUCACUCACAGAAGAAGCACCGGCUAACUCCGUGCCAGCAGCCGCGGUAAUACGGAGGGUGCGAGCGUUAAUCGGAAUUACUGGGCGUAAAGCGCGCGUAGGUGGCUUGAUAAGCCGGUUGUGAAAGCCCCGGGCUCAACCUGGGAACGGCAUCCGGGACGUACAGACGAGAGUGGGGGGGAGGAGAAGAAAGUUGCGUGGGGGAGGCGGAAGUGGGUACAGAUACGGAGAGUUAGCGGGGGCGACGGGGGUCUACGGGAGGAACACUGACACUAGGGUUUGCGUCCCCAGAUACACCACGGGACCGAGGAGACUACGGCGA
rnacentral:rRNA from 1 species